UAGGGAAUCUUCGGCAAUGGACGAAAGUCUGACCGAGCAACGCCGCGUGAGUGAAGAAGGUUUUCGGAUCGUAAAACUCUGUUGUUAGAGAAGAACAAGGACGUUAGUAACUGAACGUCCCCUGACGGUAUCUAACCAGAAAGCCACGGCUAACUACGUGCCAGCAGCCGCGGUAAUACGUAGGUGGCAAGCGUUGUCCGGAUUUAUUGGGCGUAAAGCGAGCGCAGGCGGUUUCUUAAGUCUGAUGUGAAAGCCCCCGGCUCAACCGGGGAGGGUCAGUGGAAACUGGGAGACUUGAGUGCAGAAGAGGAGAGUGGAAUUCCAGGUGUAGCGGUGAAAUGCGUAGAUAUAUGGAGGAACACCAGUGGCGAAGGCGGCUCUCUGGUCUGUAACUGACGCUGAGGCUCGAAAGCGUGGGGAGCAAACAGG
rnacentral:rRNA from 1 species